rnacentral:rRNA from 1 species
AUUGAACGCUGGCGGCAGGCCUAACACAUGCAAGUCGGGCGGAUGAAGGGUGCUUGCUCCUGGAUUCAGCGGCGGACGGGUGAGUAAUGCCUAUGAAUCUGCCUGGUAUUGGGGGAUAACGUCCUGAAACGGGCGCUACUACCGCCUACGUCCUGAGGGAGAAAGUUGGUGAGCUUCGGACCUUACGCUAUCAGGUGAGCCUAGGUCGGAUUUGCUAGUUUGUUGGGUAAAGGCCUACCAAGGCGACGAUCCGUAACUGGUCUGAGAGGAUGAUCAGUCACACUGGAACGGGGACACGGUCCAGAGGACUACGGGAGGCAGCAGUGGGGAAUAUUGGACAAUGGGCGAAAGCCUGAUACAGCCAUGCCGCGUGUGUGAAGAAGGUCUUCCGAUUGUAAAGCACUUUAUGUUGGGAGGAAGGGCAGUAAGUUAAUACCUUGCUGUUUUGACGUUACCAACAGAAUAAGCACCGGCUAACUUCGUG